GUGCCCGGCAUGUGGAUUGGAAUCAUCAUGUUGUUCGCGCAUCGCGCGUUAGUUUUCCCAUCUGGCCUCGCCUGCCAGUGUCCCAUGUGCCCGUGCUUCCGUCUUUCUGAUCUUCUGCUGCAUUUGCUCUCUUCCCGCUGCAUUCUCUCUCCCACUACAUUCUCUUUCUUUCUUUUUUUGGUUUUUUUUUUGGGAUAAUGUUGCUCUAUCACUUAUCCGCAUCCUCUGGAACCUGGUACAAAAUUUUGUUGACCUCCUCCUUUGUUGUAAUAGGCUUUCUUCUUCAUCUCCGGUGAGGUCAGAUCUUCUCUUCAGGACGUGCCAUCUUCACUGUUGGUUGCAGAUCUUGUGCUUUCUUCUUUCUCUCCAGUGAGGUCGGGUCUUCUCUUCAGGUUGCUCUGUAUUCAUGUUUUUCUCCUUCUCUGUAAAAACUUGUUUGAUGCUAAUGGUUCUUGUGUUUUGUUGUGCAAGCAUUUUUUUCAUUGCUUUUAGGAGACUGGUUUGUGAUUUCUUUGGUAGCUGGGAUUUGGACUCUCGAAGCCGUUUGUUUGGCUGCCCCUCUUUACUUGUCUUUCCCUCUCCUCCCCAUCAUCAAAUUCCAGCCACAUCUUCUAAUGUAGCUCUCUACUACUUACAGACGGAAUCCGCAGUAGAAGUUUUUGAACUGAAAAAGGAAAGCUAAUCUCAGGGAGAUAGACAGAAGAGAAGGUACGAGUACGACGGCGUCCAAGAUGCAGAGUAUCGCGGUUCUUCAGACCGAGAAUAACCUUGCAACCGGAGCUUUGUGGAAAUUGUGGCUCCUGUUUUCUCGCGGGAUGCUUGGCGAUGUGUUUGGCAUAUGAUUCAGAAUGAUUUGGUGCAUGGUUGGGGAUUGGAUUUUGCGCUAAGGAGAUGUGUGGAGCCUGCACAUGAGAAAAUUGAUGUGGUUGACUCUCAGUGGAUAGUUCAUCAAGUUAUUCCUUCUCUGGGAAGUCAGGGUCAAUCUGAAAAUGGAAAAGCUCCUUGGCAAGGGGUAAGAGAGAGGUGCAGAAGUGAGUGGGUGCAGUUUCAAGAUCGCCUAGCCAAUGCAGAUAAGAAAUAUAUUGAACAGUUUGGGAGGACUUUGAAUUAGCUAAUUUCUGGAACGAGGUAUUUGAACAACAGAAAGUUUUGUAUCCUUUUAAGUUUUCUUGCAUUUGGAAUGCUGAACUGACUGCUCAUGUGGCUAAGCAGUAAAGAGGAAGGAAUCUGCUGUCCUAUGUUAGGCAUUGUCGUUUGAUUAUGAGUGCAGUUUCAUUGGAUGUUUUUUAGUUAAUGUGUAUUAUGUAGUUAUAGUUGUUAGAGGACUCAAGCACAGAAAUUUUGUAAUAGCUAGGUUGUUGCCAUUUCAGUUUGUUGCCAUUCUGUAAUAGCUAGGUAUGUAUUGAUCAUAUAAUUUCUGAAGCAUUCUUGAUGGGAGAAAAAGACUUUGGGGUAAAGAAUCAAGAAAUCAUAUAGAGAACAAAGUUGAAAUUAAUGUAAGACGAGACCAUACAGCUUUCCUAA